GCGUCCCUGUGUUGAACGACAAACACUAAAGUUGGCAGAGCCGAUACGUGUCGACAGGGGAUACCGCUAUUGCAACUGUGUGAGUCCCUCUUUUAGCUGGGAAACCUGAUGUUGCGAUGCACUGCCCACCUCACUUUUGAGGGUUCGACAACUUCGUGUCUUGACGGCAAUGCGGGGAUGCU
rnacentral:other from 1 species